rnacentral:lncRNA from 1 species
AUGUCCCACAAGUGUGGCCUUGAGGAACAAGGCUGCCAGGAAAACCAAGGCACAAAUUGUGCAAGGCUUCCGCUCCAGGAGGAAGCUGAGCAGGUAGAAGCCCAUGAACAUGGAGUGGCUGAACCACAGGAUGGCCAUGGGCUCCGUGCUGUGCCCCCGCGGAAUAAGAAAAGGAUUCUGCCUGUAGUCUCUUUCACAGCAGGUGCUUGGUGUAAAGUAGCCGCGCACCGCAGGCGGCAGAUUGCAGGCAAUGGUUCCUCGCAAUCUCUGCGAAGCUGCCGCAGCAUCUCCAAAUAUUUUGCUUUAAGAUGGCAGCCCAGAACGAGCUUGGCUCUUUCAAAUAAUCCAGUGUCAUUCUGCCAAAAUUUGCCAACUUCUUCGAAAGUCAAAAUAGGAAAAAAAAAAAAAAAAGAAAAAUCACCCUUCUGCUUCAUUCAACAUGACCACUUGCCCAAGUUCACUUACGCUCUCCAUCUGCCGCCGGCACUGUAUAGAACUUGCCCUCCAUACGAUUUUAAUCAAAAUUAAUUGUCUAUCCAUAUUGGGGCAAAUGCCAGUUGGCGCCUGUGCCAGGCAGUCGCUGGAGAGAAGUGCGCUUGAGCGGUGGGCCACUGAUACGCCAGGGCCGCACUCGCAGAUCGCAAUCCGGUCUUCCUGCCGCGCCUGCUAUCUGAACCGCAGCAGCCACGACCCUCCCGUGGCUGUACCAAAACCCCGCUCCGAACUCCAGGCGUCCAGCUUAACGGGUACAAAGAACCUCACGGGCUGAGGAAGACCUACCAGGGCCUGGGGGUAGGGGAGCAGAGGUUGAAAUAACUCACCUAGCAGAAAACUAUCCCAGAGCGCCUUCAGACCACUACUUUGGAGAGCUCAUCCCAUCCCUUCCGCGCACACAAAGGCGCCAUCCCGCCCACUUCCCAUCCCACAAGGUAGACACCCGGUGACUAUCGCUCUUCCACCUAGGGCUCAGUGUCCUGGCUCAGCUCCCUACAACUGCCACGGCUGCAGAUUUAACAACCGUAAGAAGCGGGAUGUGAGGAAUCCCCGAAAGGUUCUGCGCGCAGGGACUCUUGCAGAGGACGUGGGCUUCUAACACAUUGAGUAUUAGAAAAAGAAUACUGAGCAGGGGACUUGUGAAGUCAAGGCUUCUAGAAGGGGCACCUGUUUUUGCUCCGCGGGGCAGAUGAUCCCUCUCUAACUUAGGUCCCCUUGAUUUUCCACCUGAGCCCAAAGGUGCGAUGUUGCGCAGCAUCGGACACUGGGCUCGAAUCUGCAGGCUUGGGGUCAGAGAGAGGGGUUCUGCUACCAAGAAGUGCGCGCCUCUACUUUCACCCUAUGCGCUAACUCAGAGUUACAUUUCCCCUCCAUUUUAAAUUAAAAUUCAAAGAGCGGGCACAGCGGAAUCUUCUGGAAAGGGGCGAAGAUGAACUCAGGAGGCGGGGGUCGAUGUGGAAAGAGCAGAUGGAUUAUUUUUUUUUCCUCUUCUGACGAAUGAGGAGCGCCCCCAGCUACCCCUCCUCACG